UACGUAGGGUGCGAGCGUUAAUCGGAAUUACUGGGCGUAAACGUGCGCAGGCGGUUCGGCAAGUCAGGUGUGAAAUCCCCGGGCUUAACCUGGGAAUUGCGCUUGAAACUAGCGGGCUUGAGUGUGGCAGAGGGGGGUGGAAUUCCACGUGUAGCAGUGAAAUGCGUAGAGAUGUGGAGGAACACCGAUGGCGAAGGCAGCCCCCUGGGUCAACACUGACGCUCAUGCACGAAAGCGUGGGGAGCAAACAGG
rnacentral:rRNA from 1 species